ensembl:lncRNA novel transcript
AGUUACCUAGACAAGCACCAAGUAUUAGAAGCCUUAGUGUUUCAAUUUGCCAUCAACUUGCUCUGCAAGCCCAGACCAAACCCUGAGCUUCCCUCUGGCUUUCUCUUUGGUUAAACAAGAAGCCUUUAUCUUCAUCUCUCCAUCAGAACCAGUGGCCUGCUCCUCUCUCCCUUCUCUGCUUUCAUUGUCCACCAACACUGAAGUCAUAAAUGACUAGAGGGAGCUGGAGUGUGAGGGUCCAGAAACUUGUAUGAUCCAGAAUGCCAUGUCAUACAUCCAAUAAAAUUCAACUCUGCAAGCAUGAGAGAGAAGAGGAAGGAAAAGAGAGAAUCUGAAGUGUGAGUGAUUCUGUUUACCAUUCCACAGACAAAUUUUCAGGCGGGCAGCAUUUUCUUCAUUCUAUACUCCAAGGAAGAGGAGGGUCAGAGAGGAUAAAUAACCUGCCUCGGAUCUCAGAAUAGGUAAAUGACAGAGACUCCACUGCCUCUGUGAUUUCUCUCGAGGCCCUGGGACCCUCAGAUGGUGAAAGGCAAGAGUCUGCGAACCCCUGG